AGCGAACGCUGGCGGCAGGCCUAACACAUGCAAGUCGAACGGACCCUUCGGGGUUAGUGGCGGACGGGUGAGUAACACGUGGGAGCGUGCCUUUAGGUUCGGAAUAGCUCCUGGAAACGGGUGGUAAUGCCGAAUGUGCCCUUCGGGGGAAAGAUUUAUCGCCUUUAGAGCGGCCCGCGUCUGAUUAGCUAGUUGGUGGUGUAACGGACCACAAAGGCGACGAUCAGUAGCUGGUCUGAGAGGAUGAUCAGCCACAUUGGGACUGAGACACGGCCCAAACUCCUACGGGAGGCAGCAGUGGGGAAUCUUGCGCAAUGGGCGAAAGCCUGACGCAGCCAUGCCGCGUGAAUGAUGAAGGUCUUAGGAUUGUAAAAUUCUUUCACCGGGGACGAUAAUGACGGUACCCGGAGAAGAAGCCCCGGCUAACUUCGUGCCAGCCGCCGCGGUAAUAC
rnacentral:rRNA from 1 species